rnacentral:lncRNA from 1 species
GUCAGAAGUUAGUCAAGAAGAAAGAAGCGGGGAAGAAAACUAGUAUGUGAUGAACAGCUGCAUCCUUUGGUACACACUGCCAUGAACCAAGGGACGCCUCUUCCUGGGGACAGCUGACAACCAGCGAUGAACGAAUAGAUAAGACGAUCUCAUCGCUUCAGCUUGGAAUAGCUCUGAGCGGCCAUGUCCGCUCCAGAACUCCAGGGUCAGCCAAGGCUUCCAUCACAACCAUUCCGGGUUAGCUUUUUUCAUCUACUCACUCCUGCUUCCUUACUUCUUUACCCCCAUCUUCCCAGAGGGUUCCCCAAAAAACCUUCUGUGCACAAUUCUCCAUUUCUAAGGAAGCAAUGUCUCCUCAAGAACUGCAUUAGCACUGAGUCUAUUCCAAAGUCGGUGUCUAUUAGAACAGAGGAAUGGGGUAAUAACAGUGAAGGAGGCAGUUACUGGUUCUAGUAAACUAAAAGAAAACAAAAAACCAGAGAGGAGCAACGCUAACAGCCUCGCCGCCACCGAAUAGAAAGAACUAGCCGCUAGAUGGCGCAGCCCUAUAGAGCAGCGGUUCCUUCACAGCAGAGAAUGUUGCCUUAGAUACGUCACUCUGUGAACGGGGUGGGGGGAAUGUUGGCUCAUUAUUUAUGCCCUUUUCCCCCCUUUUACACAUUUUAGGGACACAAGUGUCCUAGCCUGUUUCAACACCUUAACGCCAUGCCAUUGCACACAUUCAACUGAUCUCUACACAGGAUUCCCAAAGUCUGUUUUGUUUUUCUACCCACCACAGUCAUUGUUGCCAAGGGGAUGCUAAUGCGAUAGGACAUGAGGAAUUCCAAACAGUUGCUAUGAUUCUCACCUAAAAAAUGAAGAGAAUGGCAGGGAAAUCUGUGGAGCCCUCCGUCCCCAACCCCCCUCCCGACUGCAUGAGGAGCUGACAUAACAUCACUGGUUGUGAAAUACAGCGGCUCAGGGAAAGUAGUCACGGGAACCGUCGAAGAAGAUGAAGAGUUUGAGACAAAUGUAUAAUUGAGUCAAUCUAUCAAUCCUCUUGUUGGAGAGUUAAUAAAAAGAAAUAUUUCCACUCAGAAAAA